rnacentral:rRNA from 1 species
GACGAACGCUGGCGGCGUGCUUAACACAUGCAAGUCGAACGGAAAGGCCCUGCUUUUGUGGGGUGCUCGAGUGGCGAACGGGUGAGUAACACGUGAGUAACCUGCCCUUGACUUUGGGAUAACUUCAGGAAACUGGGGCUAAUACCGGAUAGGAGCUCCUGCUGCAUGGUGGGGGUUGGAAAGUUUCGGCGGUUGGGGAUGGACUCGCGGCUUAUCAGCUUGUUGGUGGGGUAGUGGCUUACCAAGGCUUUGACGGGUAGCCGGCCUGAGAGGGUGACCGGCCACAUUGGGACUGAGAUACGGCCCAGACUCCUACGGGAGGCAGCAGUGGGGAAUAUUGCACAAUGGGCGGAAGCCUGAUGCAGCAACGCCGCGUGCGGGAUGACGGCCUUCGGGUUGUAAACCGCUUUCGCCUGGGACGAAGCGUGAGUGACGGGAAUGGGUAAAGAAGCACCGGCUAACUACG